CAUCAAAUCCAAGACAGAUCACUCCCUAGCCAAAUUCCAUGUUCUUUCCCCUGAUUCAGAUGGCCUUACAGAUAUAAAUAAUGGUUCCCAGAAGAGGCCCCAAACCUUUCUGUUGUGUGGGUAAGCAUCUUUCUGGAAAUAUAACUUCCCCUGAGAUUCUGGCAAAUAUCGCAUCUGGUGUAGAAACCCAGAAGACAGAGACUGUGUGCUCUAAUUAGAUGGGAAAAUUACUUGAAAGGUAUCUACAGAUCACCAAGAAUGACUGAUGAAAAUAGCUGAAGAGGAUCAGCUUUCCCCUUUUGAAAACAACACUCUGUUCACCAUAGAGAAUAUUGAAGCCCAGAGAAUAUAGAUGACCACCCAAGAUCACACAGAUAGUACAUAGGAGACAAAGUAUUUCAAGGAUAGAGACGCUGAGCAAAUUAUGGAGUUGCCAUGGCUGGUGUCUUGGGAAGGCUACCAUAUGCCUGCUGACACAAUGUUCCUUGAAGGCCAGAUAUUCUACUCAUCAAACCAUCCAGCUGGCUUCCUCCAUUUUUACAGAAAAAGAAACUGAGUCUGAAUGAAGUGACUUGUGGAGAGUCAUCCAACCAGCUAAGAUAGAAUUUGACUCUCUCCUAGUGGUAGUGAAGGGAUUAGUUUGAUUCUACCAAUCUUGACCCUGAAUCUUUCAAGCUGAUUGUUCGGUGCUGCAAGAAUCAUCAAUCCAAUCCAUGCAAAUUUUUUACCCAAAAGUUUUCAUUCCGUUUCAUGACAUCAGUACAAACACACUAAGGUGUGGGAGAAGAGGCUAAUGAUGACUAUAACUGGUGGCUGUACAAUU